UCCGCGGGUCCUUAAAAAGUCUUAAAAAGUCUUAAAUUGCUUUUCCUAAAAAUAAGGCCUUAAAAAGUCUUAAAUUGUCUUAAAUUCAGAUUGGAUUGGUCUUAAAUGUUUUGGGUGUCAUGUCCAGGGGUUUUCCUGGGUCAAAAUGGGUCUUCGGUGCUCCCAAAAAAUAUGUUGGCGCGCGCGCACCGUCUAUUUGUGCAGGUCGGGCUGUUGAGUGAUCAGCAGCUGGCCGCUCGGUCCAUUCGCGCACCUCACAGUUGCGUAUUGAUCAGACAAGAAGACACGCUUAUCAACUCCAGUGUUUCCCCUAUAACAGGGUGAAAUCCCCCCCCCCCGCAAACAAUUCUCGGCUCGCGCGACAGAGCGAUGCGCGCGCCGGUAUUCGGUCCUAUCAAUCCCCUACAACGUGAAGCAUCGGCUACUUUAGAAAACAUGGCAGGAUGCAAGUUCAACAACGGCUUGAAAAGAACGAGUGUUUCUGGUCACGGUCGGUGAAAUGCUUCUGAAGCUGCGUUAUGUGUCGCGAGACUUUCCAGCGGUGGAAUCUCACGAGCAGAGCAAGAAGCACAGAGACUAGCGAAGGCCGCCCGCAGCGCGCGGGGCUAGCUGCUGCUCCGCCGCUAGCUGCUGCUCCGCCACUAGCUGCUGCUCCGCCGCCAGCAACGACGUCAACGCUACAACGCUGGAGGUCACCGGAGGAAAUCAGCGCCGUGCAACAAAGAGCUCAUCACCGAAGACCAACAGGGCGGCACGUUCUUCAUUCUGUUCCACGAGACUCUGGACCAGACCACCACGAGACUCUGGACCAGACCACCACGAGACUCUGAACCAGACCACCACGAGACUCUGGACCAGACCACCACGAGACUCUGGACCAGACCACCACGAGACUCUGGACCAGACCACCACGAGACUCUGGACCAGACCACCGCGAGCAGACAGCUGGACUUCAUGUGCUCUUGGUGAAAUGACCAGGUCCCGUCAGGAUCCUGUGGAGCUCAUGGGCCGUGACACCAGGACCUACUUCAGCAUCUCAAAGAGAAUGGACCAAAUGUCAACUGGAAGUUUUUGUAUUCAUACAUUUUGAAAAGGAUUGUUUUCCUAGUAUAUUCACAAAAGCUCAGGAGGAGACGUAUGAACCUGUGACACACACACCCAUCACAUAGAGACAUGAGAACUCACACACACACACACACACACACACACACACACACACACACACACACACACACACACACAUUCUAUUAUGUAAAUGAAUUUGCAUUUUAAAAGCAGCUGGAAAUGUUAUUUGUUAUUUUAUGGAUUUUUUUGUUCAAAAGGAACUAUGUUGCAUGUAUUUUUUAAAUAUAUGUACUUAUUUUUAGAGACAUUUGUUCAUGGGACUUAAAUGUUCUGAAAAUGUAUUAAUAAAUAUAAUUUACAACAGCAA